AAACAGCCCCUAUGUAUUGGAUCUUUAGUAGUUUUGGCCCCCAAGGUCAAUUUUGAUUUGGUCUUCGAUGAUGUGGUAAUUUAAAAUAAAUAAAUAUUUUUUUAGAAAAAUUAUUAUUUUUUAAUUUAAAAAAAAAACGUGACGUCCACGUGUGCAUUGACCAAGUCAAAAUUGGUCUUGGGGGCCAAAACUGCCAAAGAUCCAAUACAUAGGGGGCUGUUU
rfam:Medicago truncatula strain A17 chromosome 3, whole genome shotgun sequence.